CGCCGGUGCCGUGCGGUGCCUGUGCCGUUCCCCCUCCCUCCGGCCCCCGUUCUUACCACCUGCGGAGGCGGCCGGAGCCCGCCCGGGCCGGGGCAGCGACCUGUCCACUGCGGGCGCUCUCCUCCGGAGCAUUAGAAUCCCAGAACAACCGAAACGACGGCAAACACCCGAGAAGAGCAGGCACAAGGCGAGGAACGAGCGAGAGAAAAGAGUUUCGCUGUGUGCCGCGGUGCGGUGCCAUGCAGAACCAGCUGGGUGUGAAGGCGUCACAUCCUCCUGUACCACGGGAGUGCUACGGCAUCAUACCAGUGCAGAGCGUUUGAGGGAAGGGAACUUAAAGUGAAGAAGUUCCAACCCCUGUCACCGAGGCGUCAUUACUAUGCCUGCCGGCGCUGCUGAGAAUGCAGGACAACUUGCACACCAAAAUUCAAAACCCAGUCCAUCACCUCUGAUGGCUUAUGAAUCGCUGUGCCAGAAACCCUUGGAAAACAGCAUAAGAUAAUUAACUACAUGGUUCUUGGUGGCUGUCUCUUCAGCCAAAGUGCCUUUGGAAAAGCACGUGGCUAUCACAGUAAAAUAGUUUGGGUUGUUGGUGUUUCAGGAAGCGGCUAACUCAGAAUAAAUUGUAUUGAGGGGGAAGGGGGCUCUAUUCUGUCAAUAUUGAACAAGAACCAUCUUGAUGAAGGCCCUCUUGUUAAGGACUUGAGAGCUGUCUCAUGAGAAAGCCUUGUUGGCACUUGUACUGAACAGUCACGUCCUGUGUGAGGGAGUGCAGAGCAUGCAGGGGGAGAGAGAAGCCCAAGCUCCAUGAGAGAGACAAAAGAUCAAAAGCAGUAAAGAAAUUUUGUUUAGGCAAUUAACACUGGGAUGUUCACUAUUUUGCUCGUGUUCCUUUUCCAGUGGCUGAAAAGCAGUUUUGCUCUUCAGUCUCAAAAAAGCAGUGGCCCCAAAGAUGCCUUUCCCAAACCCCAAAGUGCCCAGAGCAUUAAAAAUCCGCACAAUUAACUGCUGGUUAACGGAGCUAGAACUGACCCAUUUUGACAAAGGGGAUCAGAGAGCGUGCCAGAGAAACUGGAGGUAACAGCCAGUGCCCCAGCUCUUUCAUUCCAGAAAAUUGCAGGAACAAAUAGUUCCAGCAUGGUUAUCCUCACAAAGAGAAGUGGGGAGCAGCAGAGAGAGGUGCGUGGCGAGGAGGAAAGACAUCUCAAUUCUCUCUUCCCUUUUUGUCAUCUCAGCUCAGUAACACAUUAUGUAACAGGUUUGUUUUUUGUUUAAAUUGUGAAACUGCGAAAGUUUCCUGAUUCUAAAACUGUGACAAUAAGAAGUACUUGUGAUCUUUUGAAAAUACUUUUCUUUUUACCUGAAAAGAAAAAUAUAUGCAGAAAAGUCUGUACUAGAACAGCAAGUUAAUUUUUUUUCAA